rnacentral:misc_RNA from 1 species
UCGUACGACGAGAGGUGCCGGGGCUGUCGCUGACCUUUUUAAAGUCGUGCACGCCCCGAGCAUUCUCUCUCACACAUCCAUCUAACCUUUGUGCAUCACCGCGUGGGCUCCGUAAAGGAGCUUGCGUCUUUCACACAGACGCCAGUGUAGAAUGUCCUUUUUGCGAUUAAUACGCAAUCAAUA